rnacentral:rRNA from 1 species
AUGCACUUUCUUCCCCGUCUUCCACUCUUCUUCCUCCUCUCUUCUUCUUCCUCCUCUCUUCUUCUUCCUCCUCUCUUCCCCAUCGUCAGCCGCACACCAUUUACCCCCGCUCACUGCUCGCCCGCCCGCGCCAUCUUCCUUGCAGACGCAAAUGCGCUGGCCUUCAUGAUUCCAGGACCUGGAAUCAUACCAGCUGAUGGUUUGAAGCACUCCUCUGGUUUGAAGGAUAGAUACCUUCCUGGGAUCAAGUGCAUCCUAACUCACCUGCUACCAUAUAACUGGAAUUACCGAUGCAAGUCGAAGAAGGAUUGGCCGGUGCUGCCGGCUGGCGUCAAGUUCGAUCCCACGGAUCAGGAGCUGAUCGAGCACCUUGAGGCCAAAGUGAGUGCUGACAGCGCGAGAUUUCAGUCUCUCAUCGAUUUGGUCAUACCAACCAUCGACAGCGAGCACGGCAUAUGCUACACCCAACCUGAGAAACUUCCAGCGCAAUUCCAGGCCGUUCAAAAGGGGCACGUGGACUCGUCGCAAGAUACAGUCGGAGUGCGGCAUGCACGCGAUGUGGCACAAGACCGGCAAUACCUUGCCGGUGAUGGUCAACAGCCGGCAAGACGGGCAGCAAAAAAGGUUCUGGUGCUGUACACCAACAAGAACUUCGACCAGCAGAGGACCAACUGGGUGAUGCACCAGUACCACCUCGGGGACCUGGAGAAAGAGAAGGAGCGGGAGCUGGUCCUCUGCAAGAUUUUCUACCAGACGAACACUAGGGCCAGGAGUAAAAAGAUUAUAAGUUAG